GGGCGGCUGUCCCAAGCACCUGCUUGCCAGGCUGGUGCCUGGAGCCGGCCCUGACUCCAGGAGAGGGUUCCCAAAACUCAACUCUGCCCCCACUCUGUAAAAGUUCUUAGUGGUGAUUGCAUUUCUUGGUUUUCUAAAGGGUCCUUCCUAGCCUUCUCUGAAGUAAUCUCAUUAAUUAACUCAUCCCAGUCUAUCUGUUUUGCUUCCAAGUUCUCUAUUGAAAUAACUGCCAGAUCAUUUAACCUUUUUCUGCCCUGUGGAUGCUCUUGCUUAGUUUUAGCUCACUGAAAUUCCUUUCAUUAGCAGCUACAGUUACAGGAAGACCACAACAUUAUACAGUGCUGUUUCUUGCAUCUAAAGACCUUUUGUGAAUGUAGCUAAGGAGACCAACGGGUGCCUUCAUUUCCAAGUCAUCCUUAACAAUUUGCUUGCAAAGACUGGUGAAAAGCUCAAUCUUGUUCUCAACACUCCAGAGUUUACAUCCUCAGGAUAGCUGCUUGAUGCCUGCUCUGCACUUGUGAACUCAGACAGGAAAGUGGUUCCCCCCAUGCAUCAAGAAGGACUAUCAAGACUUAAUGGGCCAUCUAGCACAAAAAGCUUUGUUGAUUGCUGCAUCCACCCAUGAAGAAGUUGCAUGCAGGAGUCCUUGUACCAUCGGUUGAACUCCAGGAGAAAGUGAUAUAAAGAUGCUCACAAGAAGAAAUGGUUCUCUCACAGGGCCAGAGACACUAAACUAAGGCAGAGAUCCCCAGGGGUUAUCCCUGGGUCUGCCCUGAAAGAUAUUUUGAAAUGACAGAUUACUACAUCUCUGUCAUUGUUAGGAACCAUAGAUAGUAAUUCAUUUGUGUAUAUGUUUGCUUGAAUCUGUAAAUAACUCUUUUAUUUGUUUUUCCUGGUUAAUAAACCUUUAGUCAGUUUAUUACA